UACGUAAGGGGCAAGCGUUAUCCGGAAUUAUUGGGCGUAAAGCGUCCGUAGGCUGCGAGAGAAGUCUGUGGUUAAAUCUUCCCGCUCAACGGGGAAAUCGUCACGGAAACUGACUCGCUAAGAGGCGUGCAGAGGCAGUUGGAAUUCCAGAAGUAGGGGUAAAAUCCGUAGAUCUCUGGAGGAACACCAAACGCGAAGGCAUUCUGCUGGGCACGACCUGACGCUGAUGGACGAAAGCGUGGGGAGCAAACAGG
rnacentral:rRNA from 1 species